GUACGGGAGGCAGCAGUGGGGAAUAUUGCGCAAUGGGCGAAAGCCUGACGCAGCGACGCCGCGUGGAGGAUGAAGGUCUUCGGAUUGUAAACUCCUGUCAGAUGGGAAGAAAGGUUUAUGUUUAAUAGACGUAAAAUAUGACGGUACCAUCAGAGGAAGCACCGGCUAACUUCGUGCCAGCAGCCGCGGUAAUACGAAGGGUGCGAGCGUUAUUCGGAAUCACUGGGCGUAAAGGGUGCGUAGAUGGCAUGUUAAGUUCGUUGUUAAAGGCUCUGGCCUAACUGGAGUAUUGCAAUGAAAACUGGCGUACUAGAGGGUGAGAGAGAGAAGUGGAAUUCCCGGAGUAGCGGUAAAAUGCGUGGAUCUCGGGAGGAACACCAAUGGCGAAGGCAGCUUCUUGGCUCAUUCCUGACAUUGAGGCACGAAAGCGUGGGGAGCAAACAGGAUUAGAAACCCCGGUAGUCCG
rnacentral:rRNA from 1 species